GAGGAAUAUUGGUCAAUGGACGCAAGUCUGAACCAGCCACGUCGCGUGAAGGAAGACGGCCCUACGGGUUGUAAACUUCUUUUGCAAGGGAAUAAAGUGGGCCACGUGUGGCCUUUUGCAAGUACCUUGCGAAUAAGGAUCGGCUAACUCCGUGCCAGCAGCCGCGGUAAUACGGAGGAUCCGAGCGUUAUCCGGAUUUAUUGGGUUUAAAGGGUGCUCAGGCGGGACAUUAAGUCGGCGGUGAAAUUUUGCGGCUCAACCGUAAAAGUGCCUUCGAAACUGGUAUCCUUGAGUGUGGAUGAGGUAGGCGGAAUUUGUGGUGUAGCGGUGAAAUGCAUGGAUAUCACGAAGAACUCCAAUUGCGAAGGCAGCUCACUGGAGUGUAACUGACGCUGAUGCUCGAAAGUGUGGGUAUCAAACA
rnacentral:rRNA from 1 species